GAUUCUGGCUCAGGAUGAACGCUGGCGGCGUGCUUAAUACAUGCAAGUCGAACGAAGCACUUUUGGCGGAUCCCCUCGGGGUGAAGCCGGUUGUGACUUAGUGGCGGACGGGUGAGUAACGCGUGGGUAACCUGCCUUAUACAGGGGGAUAACAGUUAGAAAUGACUGCUAAUACCCCAUAAGCGCACGAUAUCGCAUGAUGAUGUGUGAAAAGAUUUAUCGGUAUAAGAUGGACCCGCGUCUGAUUAGUUAGUUGGCGGGUAACGCCCACCAAGACGACGAUCAGUAGCCGACUUGAGAGAGUGAUCGGCCACAUUGGGACUGAGACACGGCCCAGACUCCUACGGGAGGCAGCAGUAGGGAAUAUUGCACAAUGGGGGAAACCCUGAUGCAGCGACGCCCGCGUGAGUGAUUGAAGUAUUUCGGUAUGUAAAGCUCUAUCAGCAGGGAAGAUUAAUGACGGUACCUGCAUAAGAAGCCCCGGCUAACUACGUGCCAGCCGCUGC
rnacentral:rRNA from 1 species